rnacentral:rRNA from 1 species
GACGAACGCUGGCGGCGUGCUUAACACAUGCAAGUCGAACGGUGAUGCGGAGCUUGCUCCGCGGAUCAGUGGCGAACGGGUGAGUAACACGUGAGUAACCUGCCCUGGACUCUGGGAUAAGCGUUGGAAACGACGUCUAAUACCGGAUAUGACUUCGGAACGCAUGUUCUGGAGUGGAAAGAAUUUCGGUCUGGGAUGGACUCGCGGCCUAUCAGCUUGUUGGUGGGGUGAUGGCCUACCAAGGCGACGACGGGUAGCCGGCCUGAGAGGGUGACCGGCCACACUGGGACUGAGACACGGCCCAGACUCCUACGGGAGGCAGCAGUGGGGAAUAUUGCACAAUGGGCGCAAGCCUGAUGCAGCAACGCCGCGUGAGGGAUGACGGCCUUCGGGUUGUAAACCUCUUUUGGCAGGGAAGAAGCGAAAGUGACGGUACCUGCAGAAAAAGCACCGGCUAACUACGUGCCAGCCGCCGCCGUAAGAC